rnacentral:rRNA from 1 species
CAAGGCUUGACAUAUAGGGAAAAGCGGCAGAGAUGUCGUGUCCGCAAGGGCUGUAUACAGGUGGUGCAUGGUUGUCGUCAGCUCGUGUCGUGAGAUGUUGGGUUAAGUCCCGCAACGAGCGCAACCCUCGUUCUGUGUUGCCAGCAUUUAGUUGGGGACUCACAGGAGACUGCCGGGGUUAACUCGGAGGAAGGUGGGGAUGACGUCAAAUCAUCAUGCCCCUUAUGUCUUGGGCUGCACGCAUGCUACAAUGGCCGAUACAAAGGGCUGCGAUACCGUAAGGUGGAGCGAAUCCCAAAAAGUCGGUCUCAGUUCGGAUUGAGGUCUGCAACUCGACCUCAUGAAGUCGGAGUUGCUAGUAAUCGUAGAUCAGCAACGCUACGGUGAAUACGU